rnacentral:rRNA from 1 species
GACGAACGCUGGCGGCGUGCUUAACACAUGCAAGUCGAACGGAAAGGCCCUGCUUGCGGGGUACUCGAGUGGCGAACGGGUGAGUAACACGUGGGUGAUCUGCCCUGCACUUCGGGAUAAGUCUGGGAAACUGGGUCUAAUACCGGAUAGAAGCCAUUUUUAGUGUGAUGGUUGGAAAGUUUUUUCGGUGUAGGAUGAGCUCGCGGCCUAUCAGCUUGUUGGUGGGGUAAGGGCCUACCAAGGCGGCGACGGGUAGCCGGCCCGGGAGGGUGGACGGGCACAUUGAGACUGAGACUGAGCCCAGACUCCGACGGGAGGCAGCAGUGGGGAAGAUUGCAAAAUGGGCGCGAGCCUGAGGCAGCGACGCCGCGGGCGGGAGGACGGCCAUCGGGUUGGAAACGCCUUUCGCUAGGGACGAAGCUUUUUGUGACGGUACCUAGAUAAGAAGCACCGGCUAACUACGUG